CAAGCAAUGAACCAAACCAAAGACGCUUAACUCGCGAGCGCACAUGGGUGGUACUCGGAAGCAGAGGGAACGGCGCUUGAAGCCAGCGCGUGAGAGGGGCUCACUUGCCCUUCUUCCAGGCGAACUGAUCCAGGAGAUCCUGUGGAGGAUUCCGGCGAAAGACGUGGUGGAACUUCGGUGCGUGUGUAAGUCAUGGAAAACCCUAAUUUCGUCGCCGCAAUUUUCGAAGGCGAUCAUCCAGCGUUCCUACGCCCACAUUGCCGGUUGCGCUUCCAGAGCCGCCAAAGUUAUGGACUCAAUCUCGUUGUUGCUCGCUUCUGUUUCUGACGGCAAUGCUACGGUUAAUGAUAUUUCGGAUGGCGUGAAGGCAAGCAUGGAAGUUGUCAACGCACUACCACUCUCUAAACCCUAAUCACGCCGUUGUUCCCUAACUCACCAGUCAGUCUCAGUGCCGUCGAGUUUCCUCCCCAUCAAGCCGUCGGUGCUGUGCCAAUUUCCCUACCAGACGCAUCGUUGAUGCUUUGCCACCAUCCCCACUCUCCCUCCCCUCCACGCUCCCAUGCACACAGGGGCGAAGCUAGGUGGUGGGAAAGGGGGGCGAUGGCUCCCCUAAUUUUAAUUUUUUACAUGUAAAUUAUAUGUAAAUUUUAGUUUAGCCCCCCUUAAAAUUUUAUUUUAGUCUUAGUUUAUUGGAUAAAUAUUUUUGGCCCCCUCUAAUAUUUUAUCUAGCUCCGCCCCUGCAUGCACAACGCCGUACCCCUGCUCGAAGUUGCGCCUCCGCCUUUCAUCGGUGCCAUAGAUUGAGCAAUAGGAAGAAGCGGCAUGUCAAAGGUGCCUGUACACCAGCCCUGAGUCGGUCCCAUCGCUGCCUAUAUUCCGCCGUCGCCGCCAACUAUAGCAACAUCAUUGACAAGAUUAUAAACCCACUUGAUUUGUGUUGCUGAAAAGUCUAGUCAGGUGAAAAAAAAAGUAAAUUAGUAGAGACGCGUUGUUCACCUUGUUACAUGAACGGUAUAAUGAACCACUUGGUAAAAAAUGCCGAAGCGAAGCUGGUGGAAGUAGAAGCUACAUGAUUCGGAUUCUUGAAGCGAAUCUUGCAUUGGUCUGUGAAACAGGAUAUUAUGGUUCAGCUAGAAAGGGCCUACGAUGUCUGAACAAGUACAUUAAAAGUAGAUGUCAGCAACAUUUGCAUUAACGCCGAGUUUAUUGGGCGGGUUUUAGACAUUCCUUCUAGUGGCAACGACUUCCCUGAAUUCAACAAAUAGAAUGCUGUCCAUGUAGCCAUCAAAGGACAAUUCCAGAGAAGAACGACCACCGAAUUGCGCAAUUUUGUCUACAGUUGCUCUAUGAAAACCGAAGCAGAUAGGAUGAAGUUCAUACGACAUCUUAGUGGUCUUAAAGAUGUUCUUGUGCUAAAAAACUCAACAAACAAUCUCGCCGUGACACUGAUCACGGACCCAAGUAGAUUCAAUUGGCCGUUGAAGACUUUCAAGUGGUUGGAAAACGCACUCGAAAAGUAUGAAGUUAAAAAGCACCAAACAUGCGAGGCAUGCAUGUUGGUGCUAUUGGUAUGUUACAUUAUUAAACUACUAGUAGAUGCAACAUACCAUUAUAUUGUAAACCAUAAUUUGUGAGCUUCUCUUUGGUAUUGGACUUCUAGCGACUGAAACAUAGUUUGCUCGAUGACUGUCAAGAAUCGUAGCCAUGGAUUACUGCAUAGAUUGCCGCUGAAUUCGAGAAGGCAACUAAUGUUCUUUUCCAGAUACCAACUUAAACGAGUUCUUCUUUAUACUGUACUAUGAUACCUUGCUUCCACAUGAAUAGUAUGAUUUUUAUAACUUGGACGUCUUUUUUCAUAUCUAAUUUGGAUUAUUAUUAAGUGAU